UACGUAGGGGGCUAGCGUUGUCCGGAAUCAUUGGGCGUAAAGAGCGCGUAGGCGGCCAGAUAAGUCCGGUGUGAAAGUCACAGGCUCAACCUGUGAAUGCCGCUGGAAACUGUCUGGCUAGAGUCCGGGAGGGGCGAGUGGAAUUCCUGGUGUAGCGGUGGAAUGCGCAGAUAUCAGGAAGAACACCAACGGCGAAGGCAGCUCGCUGGGACGGUACUGACGCUGAGACGCGAAAGCGUGGGGAGCGAACAGG
rnacentral:rRNA from 1 species